rnacentral:lncRNA from 1 species
UCCCAUGCCAAAAGAAAGGAGACACCCUAAGGAACUCACAUGCUCAAAGGAAAACCCCACGCCCCUCUUUCAUAUUUUUCACAUAAAAAUUGGUCUCUAAAAAACAUAUCCCACACCUCCUUUCUCUCCCCUUUUUAUUUGGCAUCCAAGAAGAGAUUAGGUCAAACCUAACCAGAUAAGUAUUUGAAUUUGAAUAAGAACUUAUCUAAAUCCA